CGCAGCUUCAUUUCAAUCUCAUUUCAUUUCUGCAAAGCUUCAUGGACGGCUAGACAGCAAGAGACAACCGAGGCUUCACCAUUUCUUUCUUCCAAAACUCAUCCAAAUCCUUACCAAAACUUCCAUAGAUUCUUACCAAUCUCCACAUUCAUUUAGCUUUUCACUUGGACGGCAACUUAGCUGCAAAAGGAAGGAGCUAUCCACGGUUUCUUCAAGCUUCAAAGGGGCCGAAAAAUCUGUCCAAACCAGUCAUCAAAGUAGGUUUGAACUCGGAGGUAAAAUGGAGAAGCCCUCUGAUGUACUUUUGUUUAGGGCUUGUUAUUACUUUUGGUUAUGCCUUUGGUUUUGAAAUUUUACUUUUGGUAUGGAAAUGUAACCCUUGGACGAAAUGAAAUCUGUAUUCUGACGUGUGGUUUGGUGAAUGGAUGACUAUUAUUAGGUUUGAAUA